rnacentral:rRNA from 1 species
UACGUAGGGUGCGAGCGUUAAUCGGAAUUACUGGGCGUAAAGCGUGCGCAGGCGGUGAUGUAAGACAGAUGUGAAAUCCCCGGGCUCAACCUGGGAACUGCAUUUGUGACUGCAUCGCUGGAGUGCGGCAGAGGGGGAUGGAAUUCCGCGUGUAGCAGUGAAAUGCGUAGAUAUGCGGAGGAACACCGAUGGCGAAGGCAGCCCCCUGGGUCAAGACUGACGCUCAUGCACGAAAGCGUGGGGAGCAAACAGG